UUGAGACUUCAGCAAGGAAAGGGUUAAGAACAUUUUCUAUGCUAUAGCUGUCAUGCGCUUGGACAGUUAACAGCCGUGUGCCGAGUCUGUUGGCAGUUGGGCGGCGGCCAUCUUAGGAGGAUGGGCAGAGUGAAACAGGACCUCGGAGCAGAAGGUGCUGAGCUGAUUUGGUGGUGUACAUGGUGACCAAAGGAGACUCCUUACCUGAUCUUCAAUAAAUCAGAGUCCAGCAGCUGACAAAGAGAGUGUCUAUGGAGUGUUGCCAGAUAUGGUAUGGAACAUCUUAUGGCGACAAAGAAUCUCGGGCUGCCCUUAUGGAAGUGGCAUAACUACUAGGUGCAGGGGAUGCGGCUGCUACGGGGCCCAAGAUGACUGCAGGGCCCGUCACUACCCUGCACCCAAAAGUACGGGUCACAGGCCAGACUGGUUGAAUCGGUGCACUGCUGAGAUGUCUGUGAGCUGAGGAAUGGCUCAUAUGAAUUUGAAACAUGUAAGUUAUGUUUGCACGUACCAAUCAAGCUAUAGAAAAGGAAAUAAAAUAAAAAAUAGUUUUAUAUGUUA